GUUGUGGUUAAUGAUGUACCCUCUUUCCCCGACAUAUCGACCAUGGUGAUUCAAACAUUUACAAAUAAGCCAAUUGUGUCUGAAACCACAAC